GUGAAUCAUCGAAUUUUUGAACGCAAAUUGCACUCUCCUCGGAGAGUAUGCCUGUUUGAGGGUCAGCCUAUAAAAAUCGACCUCGUUGCUGUUUCUCGGUGGCGUUCGUCGGCGAUUCGGUCAUCUUAAAUCCUUUUGAUCUAAGCGCCUUAAGCUUAUCUGUUGGUUCCAUGAACAUUUCUAAGAUCUAUUUCUUUACACGUUUAAGGUAUCGAUUUUUAUUAGACGUGGCCGACAUAUCGGCUAGCGU
rnacentral:misc_RNA from 1 species